UGCCCCCUCGUUCAAUGGUAGGACUGCCGACUCUGACUCGGCCAAUCGGGGUUCGAAUCCCUGGGGGGCAA
rnacentral:tRNA from 1 species